AUGCUGUCUCGGAGAAUUAGGGUUACACUGUGGCUAUUCAGCUUCUCAACAAAACACAAAAUCUCCUUCCUCUCAUCUUCUCCCGCGAUGCGGCUUCACCGAUCACCUCCUUCACUUAUCGCUGCCUUUUCUUCGACGACAUCAUCACGCCGUUGUGAACCCGCCGAAGCAAGAGAACUCCGUCUCAGCCUCGCUCUUCAAUUCCGAUUUGUUUUCAGACUUUCGCGGAUCAUCGUCUUCUUUGCCUCCGUGCAAUUCAUUCCCUUCAUCUUCGUGAGAUUUUGUCUUCAAAGUUUCGGUUCCGAUUCAACAUUAACACUUUACAUCUAA